rnacentral:rRNA from 1 species
CCCUUAGAUGUUCUGGGCCGCACGCGCGCUACACUGAUGCAUUCAACAAGCCUAGCCUUGACCGAGAGGUCCGGGUAAUCUUUGAAACUGCAUCGUGAUGGGGCUAGAUUAUUGCAAUUAUUAAUCUUCAACGAGGAAUGCCUAGUAAGCGUGAUUCAUCAAAUCGCGUUGAUUACGUCCCUGCCCUUUGUACACACCGCCCGUCGCACCUACUGAUUGAAUGACUCGGUGAAAAAUCGGGACUGCGAGAACAAUCGAUUAAUUUCGAAUGUACUUGAGGGAACUUUUUUUAACCUCGCCAUUUAGAAGAAGGUGAAGUCGUAACA